rnacentral:tRNA from 1 species
GGAAGCGGAUGGGGUCUGGUGGCCCUCCCGGUCUUCAAAACCGAUGUGAGCUGAAUAGGCUUUGGUAGGUUCGAUUCCUGCUCCUUCCGCCA